GGAAGGUUGAGAUAAGUCACAGGAAACAAAUGGCCAACCCGGGACCCCGAGCAGAGUCUUCUUCAUGCAUCAUACGUCAGAGCAGGUCACUGUCUUUGAACGCUGUGAAUUCGAGACCACGUCGCAGAAGGCACAACCACCCAUUUGUGUGUGCUGAGGAGAUGCAUAGGUGGCUCAGAUCCUGAUUGGGCUGAUAAUACUGUGCCUGGGUGUGACAAUCAGUCCUUUCCCCCUCUAUGACUAUGAUUCUCAAUUUUGCCUUACCACUGAAAUACGCUAUCACCUAUGGGGACCCUUCUCUGUGAGUAUUAGUGAUUGUUCCAGUGUUUCAAAUUUUUCAAGGGUCUUCAAGACCUUCAUCCUUGUCUCUCAAAAUCCCAUGCACUGCUGUUUAGGUCCUAAUCUUGGGCUGACUGGGUAGAUAAUACUGGCAGGGGAGUGGGGGAAAUCAGGUGGAUGGGACAAGCUCUGAGUGGGUUUUCUCUCUCUGGUCAGUUCUUCAUAUCUGGAGCGCUGUCCAUUGCUGCCGGAAGGAAAGUAACCAAGGGUUUGGUAAGUGUUUCCUUGCGGAGGCUCGGAUAGGUCUAGUGAAGUAAGGAGCUGUUCAGCUACGAGGCUAAGGCAUCUGCA
rnacentral:lncRNA from 1 species